CCCAAGGACCCAGAGACAGAGGGAGACACGGGGCCCUACAGGUGGGAGUGCUUACAUGCUCUCACCGCUAGCUGGGGAAGGCUGACCACGUGGGAAUUGAGUCAAGUUUCUUAUCUUCCUCCUCAGCUAACAACUCGAACCGGUGCGAACUGGCGAGCGGCGAUGAUGAGCGACGAGCAGCGGCGGGUCGUUACCCCUGAGGAAUGUGGGGCCACCUGCUCUCCGGGACGUCACCAGCAGCCAGCCAUGCAUAAUGCCUUACAUAAGAAGCAGCAAGAGGGCAUGGGAGAAGAUUUAGGUGCUUGCAACUUCCGUGGCUUAAAAGAAACUAGCCAUACCCGUAUUACAAUGAAAAGUUAUACUAAUGUCCGCAAGUGUUUGCAAUAAAUAAAUAAAUACAAUAAAUGAAUAAAUGAACACACACACACACACACAC